rnacentral:rRNA from 1 species
GCAUACGGUGGAUGCCUUGGCAGUCAGAGGCGAUGAAAGACGUGGAAGCCUGCGAUAAGGCUCGGGGAGCUGGCAAACAAGCUGUGAUCCGGGCAUCUCUGAAUGGGGAAACCCACCGGUCUUCGGACCGGUACCGUACGGUGAAUACAUAGCCGUACGGGGCGAACUCGGGGAACUGAAACAUCUAAGUACCCUUAGGAAAAGAAAUCAACCGAGAUUCCCUCAGUAGCGGCGAGCGAACGGGGACCAGCCCUUAAGCUGGACAACUGGUAGGAGAAGGCCCUGGAAAGAGCCGCCAUAGUGGGUGAUAGCCCCGUAUCCGAAACCUGAGUCCAGUGAAAUCGAGUAGGACGGGACACGAGACAUCCUGUCUGAACAUGGGGGGACCAUCCUCCAAGGCUAAAUACUCCUAACUGACCGAUAGUGAACCAGUACCGUGAGGGAAAGGCGAAAAGAACCCCUGUGAGGGGAGUGAAAUAGAUCCUGAAACCGUAUGCGUACAAGCAGUCGGAGCGGACUUGUUCCGUGACGGCGUACCUUUUGUAUAAUGGGUCAGCGACUUAUGUUCAGUGGCGAGGUUAACCGUUUAGGGGAGCCGUAGGGAAACCGAGUCUGAAUAGGGCGAUUUAGUCGCUGGGCAUAGACCCGAAACCGGGCGAUCUAUCCAUGAGCAGGUUGAAGGUUGAGUAACAUCAACUGGAGGACCGAACCCACUAACUUUGAAAAGUUAGGGGAUGACCUGUGGCUGGGGGUGAAAGGCCAAUCAAACCGGGAGAUAGCUGGUUCUCCCCGAAAUCUAUUUAGGUAGAGCCUCGGACGAAUUCCAUUGGGGGUAGAGCACUGUUAAGGCUAGGGGGUCAUCCCGACUUACCAACCCUUUGCAAACUCCGAAUACCAAUGAGAACUAUCCGGGAGACACACGGCGGGUGCUAACGUCCGUCGUGGAGAGGGAAACAACCCAGACCGCCAGCUAAGGUCCCAAAAUAUUGCUAAGUGGGAAACGAUGUGGGAAGGCAUAGACAGCUAGGAGGUUGGCUUAGAAGCAGCCACCCUUUAAAGAAAGCGUAAUAGCUCACUAGUCGAGUCGGCCUGCGCGGAAGAUGUAACGGGGCUAAGCAAUAUACCGAAGCUGCGGCAGCAAGUUUACUUGCUGGGUAGGGGAGCGUUGUGUAAGUGGAUGAAGGUGAGUUGUAAAGCUUGCUGGACAUAUCACAAGUGCGAAUGCUGACAUGAGUAACGAUAAUGGGAGUGAAAAACUCCCACGCCGGAAGACCAAGGUUUCCUGUCCCAUGCUAAUCAGGGCAGGGUAAGUCGGCCCCUAAGGCGAGGCAGAAAUGCGUAGUCGAUGGGAAACGGGUUAAUAUUCCCGUACUUAUAUAAUCAGUGAUGGAGGGACGGAGAAGGCUAGGCAAGCUUGGCGUUGGUUGUCCAAGUGAAAGUGAGUAGGCUGAAGACUUAGGUAAAUCCGGGUUUUCAAGGCCGAGACACGAGACGAGCUCCCAAGGGAGUGAAGUUGUUGAUGCCCUGCUUCCAGGAAAAGCUUCUAAACUUAUGAUUAUAUGAACCGUACCCCAAACCGACACAGGUGGUCAGGUAGAGAAUACUAAGGCGCUUGAGAGAACUCGGGUGAAGGAACUCGGCAAAAUUGUACCGUAACUUCGGGAGAAGGUACGCCUCUGUUUGUGAACACUUCGCGUGGUAAGCAAAUGGAGGCCGCAGUGACCAGGUGGCUGGGACUGUUUAUUAAAAACACAGCACUCUGCAAACUCGUAAGAGGACGUAUAGGGUGUGACACCUGCCCGGUGCCGGAAGGUUAAUUGAUGGGGUUAGUUUUCGGACGAAGCUCUUGAUCGAAGCCCCGGUAAACGGCGGCCGUAACAAUAACGGUCCUAAGGUAGCGAAAUUCCUUGUCGGGUAAGUUCCGACCUGCAUGAAUGGUGUAAUGAUUUCUCCGCUGUCUCCAACGCACUCUUGGUGAAUUUGAAAUGCCCGUGAAGAUGCGGGCUAUUUACAGUUAGACGGGAAGACCCCGUGCACCUUCACUAUAAUCUUAAGUUGUAAAGUUAAAUGGUUUGUGUAGCAUAGGUGGGAGCGAAAGCAAAAGUGAAAUACCAUCCUAACUAUUUGAUUUUACUGAAUUCAUUAGAAGACAGCUUGUGAGAGGUAGUUUGACUGGGGCGGUCGCCUCCUAAAGAGUAACGGAGGCGUACAUAAGGCAAACUCAAAUAAAAAAUUUAUUGUGGAGCGUAAUGGCAUAUGUUUGCUUGACUGUGAGAUAUACUUAUCGAACAGGGAUUUUAAAGUCGGUCAUAGUGAUCCGGUGGUUCUGUGUGGAAAGACCAUCGCUCAACGAAUAAAAGGUACGCCGGGGAUAACAGGCUUAUGGUUUCUGAGAGUCCAUAUCGACGAGACCGUUUGGCACCUCGAUGUCGGCUUAUCACAUCCUGGAGCUGAAGAAGGUUCCAAGGGUUCGGCUGUUCGCCGAUUAAAGUGGUACGUGAGCUGGGUUCAGAACGUCGUGAGACAGUUUGGUCCCUAUCUGCUGUAAAUGUUGAAAAUUGAAAAGAUUAAAUUCUAGUACGAGAGGAUCGAAUUUAGUAAACCUCUGGUGUAUCGAUUGUUUUAUCAAAAGCAUCGUCGAGUAGCUAUGUUUAUAAAAGAUAACCACUGAAAGCAUCUAAGUGGGAAACUUUCUUUGAAACAAAUUUUUUUAAAAUCGUGGAAGAUUACCACGUUGAUAGGUCUGAAAUGUAAGAAUCGUAAGGUUUUUAGUUUACAGAUA